rnacentral:rRNA from 1 species
GAUGAACGCUAGCGAUAGGCUUAACACAUGCAAGUCGAGGGGCAGCAUGGUCUUAGCUUGCUAAGACUGAUGGCGACCGGCGCACGGGUGCGUAACGCGUAUGCAACUUGCCUCACAGAGGGGGAUAACCCGUCGAAAGACGGACUAAUACCGCGUACACUUGGGAUAGGGCAUCCUGACCCAAGGAAAUGAAAUUCGCUGUGAGAUAGGCAUGCGUCCCAUUAGCUAGUUGGUGAGGUAACGGCUCACCAAGGCGACGAUGGGUAGGGGAACUGAGAGGGGGAGCCCCCACACUGGUACUGAGACACGGACCAGAGUCCUACGGGAGGCAGCAGUGAGGAAUAUUGGAGAAUGGGCUAGAGCCUGAACCAGCCAAGUCGCGUGAAGGAUGACUGUCUUAGGGAUGGUAAACUUCUUUUAGACGGGAAUAACAAGAGCCACGGGAGGCUCCCUGCAGGUACCGUAUGAAUAAGCAUCGGCUAACUCCGUG